UUGGUGAAGCCUACACCCCUCAUUUCAAUUCCGUUGCUUCAGCCCUCUCCCUCAUAUCCAUCGCUGCACUCAUCCACCUUUUGCUGUAGUUCUCAGAUGAAGUAGUUGGAAAUGUGGCUGUCACUCUGAUACCACAGUGCCAUCUAUUGGUGGGAAAUCGAGGCUGCAUUAAAUGGUGAUGGAGUGAAAAGAAAGACGAAAAGGGGGAUCAAGCAGAAAAGUUUGCGUGUGAAAAGGAAAACAAAAGGGGAGCGAAUGUGCCGUUGCAUGCAUAAUCAUCUCUUCAAGCAUAGACAAUCCUUCAUAGUUAAAUGUAAAUAACGCUGGUGUGAUGGAUGAUGCUGUCAGGUUUCUUCAAAGCCCCCUCGCCCAUGAGAGCCCGGCUCCCGGAUGGGUAGAGCGUAAACGGAUAACGGGAGAGAAGAAUGAGUACAGGGAUUCCCAUUCAGACUGAUGACAAAGUCAUCUUCAAUGCACCAUCAUUCAAGUGAACAGUAAACAUAUUGAAAAUGAGCUACAUGAAAGAACAGGAAAUGGAUGUGAGGCACUGACCGAU